rnacentral:rRNA from 1 species
UACAGAGGUCUCAAGCGUUGUUCGGAAUCACUGGGCGUAAAGGGUGCGUAGGCUGCAUGGUAAGUCAGAGGUGAAAUCCCGGAGCUCAACUUCGGAAUUGCCUCCGAUACUGCCGUGCUUGAGGGCUGGAGAGGAGUCUGGAAUUCACAGUGGAGCAGUGAAAUGCGUAGAUAUUGUGAGGAACACUAGUUGCGAAGGCGAGACUCUGGACAGUUUCUGACGCUGAGGCACGAAGGCCAGGGGAGCAAACGGG